rnacentral:rRNA from 1 species
GCGUUAGGCGGAAUCACUGGGCUUAAAGCGUGUGUAGGCGGACUUGUAAGUACCUUGUGAAAUCCCACGGCUCACCCGUGGAACUGCUGGGUAUACUGCGAGUCUUGAGCCACUUAGGGGCUGUCGGAACAGGCGGUGGAGCGGUGAAAUGCGUAGAUAUCGCCUGGAACGCCAAAGGUGAAAACAGACAGCUGGGAGUGUGCUGACGCUGAGACACGAAAGCCAG